rnacentral:rRNA from 1 species
GAUAGAAAGUUACUUCGGUACAUCGGUGACAGGUGGUGCAUGGUUGUCGUCAGCUCGUGUCGUGAGAUGUUGGGUUAAGUCCCGCAACGAGCGCAACCCCUAUUGUUAGUUGCCAUCAUUCAGUUGGGCACUCUAGCGAGACUGCCGGUAAUAAACCGGAGGAAGUGGGGAUGACGUCAAAUCAUCAUGCCCCUUAUGACCUGGGCUACACACGUGCUACAAUGGUUGGUACAACGAGUUGCGAGUCGGUGACGGCGAGCUAAUCUCUUAAAGCCAAUCUCAGUUCGGAUUGUAGGCUGCAACUCGCCUACAUGAAGUCGGAAUCGCUAGUAAUCGCGGAUCAGCACGCCGCGGUGAAUACCGUUCCCGGGCCUU